GAUGAACGCUAGCUACAGGCUUAACACAUGCAAGUCGAGGGACCGGCGCACGGGUGAGUAACACGUAUCCAACCUGCCCUUUACUCGGGGAUAGCCUUUCGAAAGAAAGAUUAAUACCCGAUAUAAAGGAUGGGGAUGCGUUCCAUUGGGUUGUUGGUGAGGUAACGGCUCACCAAGCCUUCGAUGGAUAGGGGUUCUGAGAGUAAGGCACCCCACAUUGGAACUGAGGCACGGUCCAAACUCGUACGGGAGGGAGCAGUGAGGAGGAUAAGGCAAUGGGCGCUAGCCUGAACCAGCCAAGUAGCGUGAAGGAUGAAGGCUUAUGGGUCGUAAACUUCUUGUAAAUAAGAAUAUGUAUUAUAAGAAUAAGGAUCGGCUAACUCCGUGCCAGCAGCCGCGGUAAUAC
rnacentral:rRNA from 1 species